GUAGGGUGCGAGCGUUGUCCGGAAUUAUUGGGCGUAAAGGGCUCGUAGGCGGUUUGUCGCGUCGGGAGUGAAAACUCAGGGCUUAACCCCGAGCCUGCUUCCGAUACGGGCAGACUAGAGGUAUGCAGGGGAGAACGGAAUUCCUGGUGUAGCGGUGAAAUGCGCAGAUAUCAGGAGGAACACCGGUGGCGAAGGCGGUUCUCUGGGCAUUACCUGACGCUGAGGAGCGAAAGUGUGGGGAGCGAACAGGAUUAGAUACCCUGGUAGUCCACACCGUAAACGUUGGGCGCUAGGUGUGGGACUCAUUCCACGAGUUCCGUGCCGCAGCUAACGCAUUAAGCGCCCCGCCUGGGGAGUACGGCCGCAAGGCUA
rnacentral:rRNA from 1 species